UGGGGAAUAUUGCGCAAUGGGCGAAAGCCUGACGCAGCGACGCCGCGUGAGGGAUGAAGGUCUUCGGAUCGUAAACCUCUGUCAGCAGGGAAGAAAUUUACAUGUGCUAAUCAACGUGUAAUUGACGGUACCUGCAAAGGAAGCACCGGCUAACUCCGUGCCAGCAGCCGCGGUAAUACGGAGGGUGCGAGCGUUAAUCGGAAUUACUGGGCGUAAAGCGCUCGUAGGUGGCAUAUCAAGUCAAGGGUGAAAUCCCCGUGCUCAACAUGGGAACUGCCUUUGAAACUGGUAAGCUGGAGUGUGUGAGAGGAUAGUGGAAUUCCAGGUGUAGGAGUGAAAUCCGUAGAUAUCUGGAGGAACAUCAGUGGCGAAGGCGACUAUCUGGCACAUAACUGACACUGAGGAGCGAAAGCGUGGGUAGCAAACAGGAUUAGAUACC
rnacentral:rRNA from 1 species